rnacentral:rRNA from 1 species
UACGUAGGGCGCAAGCGUUGUCCGGAAUUAUUGGGCGUAAAGAGCUCGUAGGCGGCUUGUCACGUCGGAUGUGAAAGCCCGGGGCUUAACUCCGGGUCUGCAUUCGAUACGGGCUGGCUAGAGUGUGGUAGGGGAGAUCGGAAUUCCUGGUGUAGCGGUGAAAUGCGUAGAUAUCGGGAGGAACACCAGUGGCGAAGGCGACUACCUGGCCUGUUCUUGACGCUGAGGCGCGAAAGCUAGGGGAGCAAACGGG